rnacentral:rRNA from 1 species
UGGGGAAUAUUGCACAAUGGGCGCAAGCCUGAUGCAGCCAUGCCGCAUGAGUGAAGAAGGCCUUUGGGUUGUAAAGCUCUUUUAGUGAGGAAGAUAAUGACGGUACUCACAGAAGAAGUCCUGGCUAACUCCGUGCCAGCAGCCGCGGUAAUACGGAGAGGGCUAGCGUUAUUCGGAAUUAUUGGGCGUAAAGGGCGCGUAGGCUGGUUAAUAAGUUAAAAGUGAAAUCCCGAGGCUUAACCUUGGAAUUGCUUUUAAAACUAUUAAUCUAGAGAUUGAAAGAGGAUAGAGGAAUUCCUGAUGUAGAGGUAAAAUUCGUAAAUAUUAGGAGGAACACCGGUGGCGAAGGCGUCUAUCUGGUUCAAAUCUGACGCUGAAGCGCGAAGGCGUGGGGAGCAAACA